UAGAAGUUUGUGGAGUUCUCUUAAUUGUUUAGCAUUCGGGGUUUUAAGGGCUAAAGUUCUUACUACGAACAAGUAAGUUUUUUGAUGAGUGACUUAUGAUUCAGACAAGUGGUGUGUUUAUCUGUCUUGGGUUUAUUCUGGGAUUGCUGU
rnacentral:tRNA from 1 species